ACGCUAGCUACAGGCUUAACACAUGCAAGUCGAGGGGAAACGGCAUUGAAGUGCUUGCACUCUUUGGACGUCGACCGGCGCACGGGUGAGUAACGCGUAUCCAACCUUCCCAUUACUGUGGGAUAACCUGCCGAAAGGCAGACUAAUACCGCAUAGUCUUCGAUGACGGCAUCAGAUUUGAAGUAAAGAUUUAUCGGUAAUGGAUGGGGAUGCGUCUGAUUAGCUUGUUGGCGGGGUAACGGCCCACCAAGGCAACGAUCAGUAGGGGUUCUGAGAGGAAGGUCCCCCACAUUGGAACUGAGACACGGUCCAAACUCCUACGGGAGGCAGCAGUGAGGAAUAUUGGUCAAUGGACGGAAGUCUGAACCAGCCAAGUAGCGUGCAGGAUGACGGCCCUAUGGGUUGUAAACUGCUUUUGUAUGGGGAUAAAGUUAGGGACGUGUCCCUAUUUGCAGGUACCAUACGAAUAAGAACCGGCUAAUUCCGUGCCAGCAGCCGCGGUAAUACGGAAGGUCCAGGCGUUAUCCGGAUUUAUUGGGUUUAAAGGGAGCGUAGGCUGGAGAUUAAGUGUGUUGUGAAAUGUAGACGCUCAACGUCUGAAUUGCAGCGCAUACUGGUUUCCUUGAGUACGCACAACGUUGGCGGAAUUCGUCGUGUAGCGGUGAAAUGCUUAGAUAUGACGAAGAACUCCGAUUGCGAAGGCAGCUGACGGGAGCGCAACUGACGCUUAAGCUCGAAGGUGCGGGUAUCAAACAGGAUUAGAUACCCUGGUAGUCCGCACAGUAAACGAUGGAUGCCCGCUGUUGGUACCUGGUAUCAGCGGCUAAGCGAAAGCAUUAAGCAUCCCACCUGGGGAGUACGCCGGCAACGGUGAAACUCAAAGGAAUUGACGGGGGCCCGCACAAGCGGAGGAACAUGUG
rnacentral:rRNA from 1 species